CCUACGGGCGGCAGCAGUGGGGAAUAUUGGACAAUGGGCGCAAGCCUGAUCCAGCGACGCCGCGUGAGGGAAGAAGUCUUUCGGGUUGUAAAGCUCUAUUAGCAGGGACGAAAGAAAUGACGGUACCUGACUAAUAAGCCACGGCUAACUACGUGCCAGCAGCCGCGGUAAUACGUAGGGGGCAAGCGUUAUCCGGAUUUACUGGGGGUAAAGGGAGCGUAGGCGGGGAUGCAAGGCUGAUGUGAAAGCCAGGGGCCCAACCUGUGGACUGCAUUGGAAACUGUAGGGCUGGAGUGCAGGAGAGGUAGGUGGAAUUCCUAGUGUAGCGGUGAAAUGCGUAGAUAUUAGGAGGAACACCAGUGGCGAAGGCGGCCUGCUGGACUGCAACUGACGCUGAGGCGCGAAAGCGUGGGGAGCAAACAGGAUUAGAUACCCCUGUAGUC
rnacentral:rRNA from 1 species